GGUGGCGGCGCGGGGCCGUGGAGGAGCAGCAGCGACGGCGGCGGCGGCGAACGGGGGGUCCCGGGGUGCGACGCCGGGCGGUGCAAAUACACAUCCCACCUCCCCCAUUGCCUCCCGUCCCUCUCUGAAAAGAGAGAGGAAAGGAAGAGAUCCGAAAAAAAUACGCCUUUAUUUUUUUUUUUUAAAUUGUUUAUGUUUCUCUUUAAUUUUGGGGUUUUUUUUGGGGGGUGUCACUUUCGCCUUUAAAAAACAACACUUCCCUCUAAAAAAAAAAACAACCCAGCGAGCAAAGCCAGGAUGCUGCUGCAUUGCACUGGAUUUUUACUUAUUUUUCCCUCAAUCAGCUUUUUUAAAGAUAAUUUUUGCAAACAGCUGCGCUUACAGCCUCCGAUGGGAUUUACACUCGGGAAAAGAAGCUUUUUCUUUAAAGACCACCCCAUAUGCUCCCCUCAUUCCUUUAUUUUUUAAUUUUAAUAGUCCUUUAUUUUUUUAAUUCUUGUUUUAGUUUUUUAUUAAUUUUUUUUUUUGCUGAGACUCUCCUGACCAAAAAAAACCACCAAUGAUGGUUUCUUCUUUUUUUUCCCCUCUUUUUUUUUUUGGUUUUUUUUUUUUUGAUCCGUUUUCUCUUUUCCUUUCCAGGACUCUGGAGUGGUUUACCAGGCUGUUUUCUGCGUGUCAGCAUGAAUGCGGGGCUCUCUCUCUCCCUCUCCUUCCUUCCCACAGGAGGUUGGGGAUGUCAAAGGUAGCACAUGGAGGAGACCUGUGAUCCCAGACAACCACUCAAAUCUUUAAUAAGCAAAUGUCUACAGUUUACGUUCCAAGAAAACAAAGCAGCUGAGUACGCAUCCCAUCCGGUUCUUGUUAAUUUAAGUAGAUGAGACUUUUUAUUGAUAAGGAAACUCCUCCGGAACAGCCCCCUGGUUCCCAGAAGGCUCCCCCUGCUGCAGCCGUCCUCAUUACAAAACAAGGCCACAAUUAAAAUAAACUCCAAGAGCUAAACAAACCGCUGCCUCUCACUGGUCAUGUGUUAGCUUUAGCCUUUAAUGCUGAACAAAAUGUUUUCCUGGGUAUCGGAAGAGGCAUGGGCUCUGGCUGGGAGGAGAAGAGGGAGCGGCAGCCGGGUGUAUGGAAAUGGCAGGGAGUGGUGUGCUGCGAUGCUCAUCGGGGCUCCUUUUUUCUUGCUCGCUUCUCCUUUUUUUUUUUUUUUUUUUUUCCAUUUUUGUUUUAAUUGGAGUGUUUGUGAUCUGGCUUGGUCGUUACUGUGAGAGAAAGGACUGGAAGUGGAAAAACUUGAAUGUCAUGGUGGAGCCCGGCUGUUCCAGCACGCCCUGGGCACACCCGGCCGUACCUCACCCCUGCCCAGCUCGGCUCCGAAUCAGCCCACCGACCGCUAUCUGUGAGCCCCUGACCCAACUCCUGUGCUCCCAUCACACCUUGUGCAGAGGGUUUAGGUGGCCAUAGGUGACACUUGGCAUCUGCCAGCAGCAGAAGCUGGACCAGUAUUGUGCUAGGGGGCAUGGGGCGCCCUGGAGGACAGGACUGGAGAGAUGGAGAGGUGGACAGAGGGAGGGAGUAACAGCCAAAGGCCACCGAGGGGUGUGCAGCUAUCCGUGUCUCCGUGCAACGAUGCCAUCCGAGAGUACAUCGCUGCCUCUGUGCCAUGUGCGGGCGCUCGGUUUGGAGUAAUGAAUCACACUCAUACCAAUACCCUGUGACAAGAACUGCUCCGAUAAAGGAACGCUGCAUGCCUGUGCCAUGCUCAGAUGAAAUCCCGCAUAUUCCUGCGAAAUCACCCAAAUAACUGGCAUAUCUGCUUAGCUCUGUCUGCCAGGAGAGAGUGCAGACUUGCCUGUCAAAAAUUACUUUCCUCCCACAUAAGCAAAGGAGGGAGAUACCUGCCUGUCUGCCUGCCUCAUCUCCCACACGACUGUGAGUAAAGAUCAGUUACCCAGGAGGUACAAAAGGACUGUCCCUGUCCCACCGAACACCUACGGCCCCACGCCAUCUCUGCCUCGUCUUUGAAUUUAAAACUUCAUCCUAUGGUUUUCCAGCCACAGAUAAUUAGCUCCCACCCCUCCCGGGUCCCAAUCAAGUUUUAACCACUUAUGGCCCAAAGCCUGGCAGUGUUUUGAAGGGUCCAUGCCAGGCAAGGAUUGUCCGGGCACGGGAUGUGGUGGGGGGGGCCUUCACCUCGCCGUCAUGUCCAGCCUGCUCCCUUGCUUGUCCCCAAAUGUUGUCAGUCCUGGCACCCAUGACAAUGUGAAGCUUGUGACCCACGGAAGCUGGAUAUCCCUGGCCUGUAGCCGUGUGGUACCACUCACCUCUUUCCUUCUCAGCAGAUCCAUCAACUUUCAGCCGUCAAGAUUAAAAACCUCCACUAACCCCUACAAAUACUUUGGUGCUAAGGAGUUAGGCUGAGCUAAUUCAAACCUAAUGUGAAAGUGGUUGCUUUGUUGGAGAAAAAAAUAAAAACCAUAAUGAAGGCAGUGCUUGCUUUGGAUAGUUAACAGUAUUAUUUAUUACUCCUGUACUCGUGCCUCGGUGAAUCUUGCAGAGCCCUGAUAUUAAAAAGCAGCAGAAGAACGAUGCCUCAAAGUUUUAUGGGCACAAACACAUUGAAAUUAAAAGAUUGAUUUGCAUCGAUCCUGAUCAUUUUGAAACAGGCCUCUAAAGUUCAGGCUAAACCAGCCUGGUUUUUUUUUUUCUUUAAUAAUACCUCCUCGGAUGUCUCAGCCAGUAGAACGCUACGUGGACUCUACUGAAUUUCAAUUUCUCUCUUCAAAUAAAACAUCAACAUAAAUUUUA